GCGGCCGUGACCCUGCUGGAGUCUGGGGGGGACCUCCAGCCCCCCGGGGGGUCCCUGCGCCUCCUCUCCCGCGGCUCUGGGUUUGAUUUUGGACGAACGAGUCUGAUGUGGAUUCGCCAGGGGCCUGGGAAGGGGCUGGAAUACGUCGCUGGGAUGGACUAUGAUGAUGGCACCACCAGAUACGCGCCGUCGGUGCGGGGCCGGUUCACGAUCUCCAGGGACAACGGGCAGAGCUCGGUGACGCUGACCAUGAGCAGCCUCAAGGACGAGGAUUCCGCCGUCUAUUUCUGCGCCAAGUGUGCUUCUAAUUUUGCUUCUGCUUAUCGUGUUGAUGCUGUUGACCCCAUCCCCGUCACCGUGUCCCCCUGUCCCCCUCCUGGCCCCAAAUCUCGGCCGCAGGGGUCGCUGCGGGCAGCAGGGGCAGGGAGGUCGCUCUGCCCUGCCCUGGGCGCUGCCGGGGUCACUCCUCGAGCGCGGUGCCCAGCGCUGACCCCUCAGCUUGGGAAGGACCUGGGGACCCGGAGCGCGCCCAGAGGGGACAGCGAGGCCGCAGAGGGGCCGGGACACCAACCCUGCGAGGAGCCCUGA